rnacentral:rRNA from 1 species
UACGAAGGGGGUUAGCGUUGCUCGGAAUUACUGGGCGUAAAGGGCGCGUAGGCGGGUCGUUAAGUUAGAGGUGAAAGCCCAGGGCUCAACCCUGGAAUAGCCUUUAAUACUGGAUAUCUUGAGUUCGGGAGAGGUGAGUGGAACUCCGAGUGUAGAGGUGAAAUUCGUAGAUAUUCGGAAGAACACCAGUGGCGAAGGCGACUCACUGGCCCGAUACUGACGCUGAGGCGCGAAAGCGUGGGGAGCAAACAGG